UCCGGUGUGGUUUAGUGGCUAUAAUAUGGUAAGGCAGCAGUCAUAACCCCUCGCGACCACACGCUAAGCCCUUACGAAGGGACAGUUAUGCCAACUGGAAUCCCAAGACCCAGUGUUCGAAUCCUGGCGCCGGAC